CCCUUAGAUGUUUGGGGCCGCACGCGCGCUACACUGAAGGAAUCAACGUGUGUCUCGCCUGGCCUGGGAAGGCUGGGUAACCCGUUGAACCUCCUUCGUGCUAGGGAUUGGGGCUUGUAAUUCUUCCCCAUGAACGAGGAAUUCCCAGUAAGCGCGAGUCAUCAUCUCGCGUUGAUUACGUCCCUGCCCUUUGUACACACCGCCCGUCGCUACUACCGAUUGGAUGGUUUAGUGAGACCCUCGGAUUGGACCCGGCAUGGUGGGUUACCGCCGCGCCGGCGUGCCGAGAAGACGGUCAAACUUGAUCAUCUAGAGGAAGUAAAAGUCGUANCA
rnacentral:rRNA from 1 species